rnacentral:rRNA from 1 species
AGCGAACGGCGGCGGUAGGCCUAACACAUGCAAGUCGAACGGCAGCACAGUAAGAGCUUGCUCUUACGGGUGGCGAGAGGCGGACGGGUGGGGAACACAAUGGACCCUACUUCUUCGAGGGGGAUAACGUAGGGAAACUGACGCUAAUAACGCAUACCACCCUCGGGUGAAAGCGGGAGAUGUUCGGACCUUGCGCGAGUGAAUGAGCCGAUGUCGGAUUAGCUAGGUGGCGGGGUAACGGCCCACGAAGGCGGCGAUCCGUAGCUGGUCUGAGAGGAUGGUCGGCGACACUGGAACUGAGACACGGUCCUGACUCCUACAGGAGGCGUCAGUGGGGAAUAUUGGACAAUGGUCGCAAGCCUGAUCCAGACAUACCGCGUGGGUGAAGAAGGCCGUCUGGUUGUAAAGCCCUUUUGUUGGGAAAGAAAAGCAGCAGGUUAAUACCCCGCUGUUCUGACGGUACCCAAAGAAUAAGCACCGGCUAACUUCGUG